UCUACGUCCACCUGGGACAGAGCCAGGCCAGACCAGCCAGCCACAACAGCACUGCCACUACCCACAACAAACAGCCUGAGGCCAAGAAGGAAGCAGAAGAGGGAAGCAGCAAGGUUAAGAAAAUCUGCCUUACGGCCUCCUCUAAGACCGCGGCGGGAGCAACGGCAGCAGGAGGAGCUGCGUGUGACAGGAUUAAGAGUAGACCAUCCCUCAACAGAGCCAGAGGAGCGCCUGCCUCAGCCUCCCAGGCUCUCCCUCCAGCAGCCAGGCUGAGCCAGGGAAGAGAUGUCUGCAGCAGUGCCUCCGGAGGUCAUCCGAGGUCCCAGACAGAGGUUGGAACCUCCUCAGCCAACAGCAGCACUAAGCCCAGAGUCACUG